UACAGAGGUCUCAAGCGUUGUUCGGAUUCAUUGGGCGUAAAGGGUGCGUAGGCGGCGCGGUAAGUCGGGUGUGAAAUCCCCAAGCUUAACUUGGGAACUGCAUUCGAGACUGCAUAGCUAGAGUAUGGGAGAGGGAAGUGGAAUUUCAGGUGUAGCGGUGAAAUGCGUAGAUAUCUGAAGGAACAUCAGUGGCGAAAGCGACUUCCUGGACCAAUACUGACGCUCAUGUGCGAAAGCGUGGGGAGCAAACAGG
rnacentral:rRNA from 1 species